CAAAAUAGAGCUGGUUAGCAACUCAUUUACGCUGAGAUGGUCCUUGAGAUUUAGGUGUUUUGA
rnacentral:tRNA from 1 species